UCAGGUACAACAAUCUGGUUAGAAUCAGUAUUCUCGAUGAGCGGUGCAUUCGAAGAAGAAUUCCCAUUUCCCAUGCUGGUCAUGAACUGCGGUUGGGUAGAAGCUGAGGCAGCCAUAUUUUCCAAUAAUCUCAACUCUGUUUGAGUGAGACAAAGAAGAAGGGUUCAAUUAGCCAGCUGAGUAUAACUCCAUGUUGGAAAAAAUUAAGAAUAAAAUGCAUAUACGUAUU
rnacentral:lncRNA from 1 species